rnacentral:rRNA from 1 species
AACUAGGAUUAGAUACCCUAUUAUUAAAAAUUUAAUUUAUAAUACUAAAAUAGUAGAUAAAAAAUAUUGAAACUUAAAUAAUAUGGCGGUAUUUUAGUUCAUUUAGAGGAAUCUGUUUAAUAAUUGAUAAUCCACGAAUAAAUUUACUUAAUUUAUAAUUUUGUAUAUCAUUGUUAAAAAAAUAUUUUUUAGUAAAAAUAAUAUUUAAAAAUUUAAAUAUGGAAAUUAAUUCAGAUCAAGAUGCAGAGUAUAAUUAAGAAUAUGAUGGAUUACAAUAAAUAUAUUUAAAUGAAUAAUUUUAUUGUAAAUAAAUUUGAAGGUGGAUUUAAAUGUAAUUUAAUUAAUCUAUCAAAUGAU